rnacentral:rRNA from 1 species
AGAGUUUGAUCCUGGCUCAGGAUGAACGUUGGCGGCGUGCCUAACACAUGCAAGUCGAACGCAAAUAGCAAUAUUUGAGUGGCGCACGGGUGAGUAACACGUAGCUUACCUCCCUCCGAGAGUGGGAUAACGGCUCGAAAGAGCUGCUAAUACCGCAUAAGCUCACGGUCUGUAGAGGGCUGUGAGAAAAGGGGCAACUCGCUUGGAGACGGGGCUGCGGCCCAUCAGCUAGAUGGUGAGGUAACGGCUUACCAUGGCGACGACGGGUAGCCGGCCUGAGAGGGUGUCCGGCCACACUGGGACUGAGAUACGGCCCAGACUCCUACGGGAGGCAGCAGUGGGGAAUAUUGCACAAUGGGCGCAAGCCUGAUGCAGCGACGCCGCGUGGGGGAUGACGGCCUUCGGGUUGUAAACCUCUUUCAGUACCGACGAAGCGUGAGUGACGGUAGGUACAGAAGAAGCACCGGCCAACUACGUGCCAGCAGCCGCGGUAAUUC